rnacentral:rRNA from 1 species
UACGUAGGGUGCAAGCGUUGUCCGGAAUUAUUGGGCGUAAAGAGCUCGUAGGCGGUUUGUCGCGUCGAAUGUGAAAACCCGGGGCUCAACCCCGGGCCUGCAUUCGAUACGGGCAGACUAGAGGUAUGCAGGGGAGAACGGAAUUCCUGGUGUAGCGGUGAAAUGCGCAGAUAUCGGGAGGAACACCAAUUGCGAAGGCAGCUCGCUGGGACGGUACUGACGCUGAGGCGCGAAAGCGUGGGGAGCAAACAGG